CGGUGGCCAAAUCCGAUCCUCUGCCUCCACGUGGUGCCAGCUGGAUGUUGGCCUCUGGUGUUGUCAGACUCACCAGCGGCCUAACCAAAGAGGACGG
rnacentral:ribozyme from 1 species